rnacentral:rRNA from 1 species
UACGUAGGCAGCGAGCGUUGUUCGGAGUUACUGGGCGUAAAGCGUGCGUAGGCGGUUGUCUAAGUUUGGUGUGAAAUCUCCUGGCUUAACUGGGAGGGUGCGCUGAAAACUGGGUGACUGGAGUGUCGGAGAGGUAAGCGGAAUUCCUGGUGUAGCGGUGAAAUGCGUAGAGAUCAGGAGGAACACCUGUGGUGUAGACAGCUUACUGGACGAUAACUGACGCUGAGGCACGAAAGCGUGGGUAGCAAACAGG